AUUCCUACGGGAGGCAGCAGUGGGGAAUAUUGCACAAUGGGCGAAAGCCUGAUGCAGCGACGCCGCGUGGGGGAUGAAGGCCUUCGGGUUGUAAACCCCUUUCAGCAGGGAAGAAGCGAAAGUGACGGUACCUGCAGAAGAAGCGCCGGCUAACUACGUGCCAGCAGCCGCGGUAAUACGUAGGGCGCAAGCGUUGUCCGGAAUUAUUGGGCGUAAAGAGCUCGUAGGCGGUCUGUCGCGUCUGCUGUGAAAACCCGAGGCUCAACCUCGGGCCUGCAGUGGGUACGGGCAGACUAGAGUGCGGUAGGGGAGACUGGAAUUCCUGGUGUAGCGGUGGAAUGCGCAGAUAUCAGGAGGAACACCGAUGGCGAAGGCAGGUCUCUGGGCCGCAACUGACGCUGAGGAGCGAAAGCAUGGGGAGCGAACAGGAUUAGAUACCCUGGUAGUCCAUGCCGUAAACGUUGGGCACUAGGUGUGGGGCUCAUUCCACGAGUUCCGUGCCGCAGCAAACGCAUUAAGUGCCCCGCCUGGGGAGUACGGCCGCAAGGCUAAAACUCAAAGGAAUUGACGGGGGCCCGCACAAGCGGCGGAGCAUGCGGAUUAAUUUGAUGCAACGCGAAGAACCUUACCAAGGCUUGACAUCCGCGGAACUCGGCAGAAAUGCCUUGGUGCUUCGGAUCGCGAGACAGGUGCUGCAGGCUGUCGUCAGCUCGUGUCGUGAGAUGUGGUAAGUCCCGCAACGAGCGCACCUGUCUUAGUUGCCAUCAUUCAGUGGAACUCUAAGGAGACCGCCGGUGACAAACCGGAGGAAGGUGGGGAUGACGUCAAGUCAUCAUGGCCCUUAUGGCCAGGGCUACACACGUGCUACAAUGGGCGGUACAAAGGGUUGCCAACCCGCGAGGGGGAGCCAAUCCCAAAAAGCCGUUCGUAGUCCGGAUCGGAGUCUGCAACUCGACUCCGUGAAGUCGGAAUCGCUAGUAAUCGCAGAUCAGCAUUGCUGCGGUGAAUACGUUCCCGGGCCUUGUACACACCGCCAUCCAUAUGA
rnacentral:rRNA from 1 species